rnacentral:rRNA from 1 species
CCUACGGAGGCAGCAGUAAGGAAUCUUCCACAAUGGACGAAAGUCUGAUGGAGCAACGCCGCGUGCAGGAUGAAGGCUUUCGGGUCGUAAACUGCUUUUAUAUGGGAAGAUUAUGACGGUACCAUAUGAAUAAGGACCGGCUAACUACGUGCCAGCAGCCGCGGUAAUACGUAGGGUCCAAGCGAUAUCCGGAAUUACUGGGCGUAAAGCGUGUGUAGGUGGAUUAAUAAGUGUGAUGCGAAAUCCGGCGGCUCAACCGUUUGGACUGUGUCGCAUACUGUUAGUCUAGAGGACGGCAGAGGUAAGUGGAAUUACGGGUGUAGCAGUGAAAUGCGUAGAUAUCCGUAGGAACACCAAUGGCGAAGGCAGCUUACUGGGCCACACCUGACACUGAGACACGAAAGCGUGGGGAGCGAACAGGAUUAGAUACCCUGGUAGUCCACGCCGUAAACGAUGCAUACUAUUAGUAUGGGGUAUCGACCCCCUGUGCUGAGAAGCUAACGCGAUAAGUAUGCCGCCUGGGGGAGGUAGAGNGCGAGAACGUAAACUAACUUAAAGAAAGUAGUUAGGCGNGNGAGNGCGACGACGACGACGAGGAGGAGG